CUUCCACAUCCGUCACAGCACCAUCAGUCAGCAGCAACAGCAUGAAGUAUUGCUGGGGACAAGCCCAUUCAUGUCCUGAAGCAGAUCCUCCUCCUAAACCCCUGCAAACACCCCAGCCACACAUCCCCACACUCAUAAGAAGUCCCUUGUUACAGGCCGGGUGCGAUGGCUCACACCUGUAAUCCCAGCACUUUGGGAGGCUAAGGCAGGCGGAUCACUUGAGGUCAGGAGUUUGUGACCACCCCAGCCAACAUGGUGAAAGCCCGUCUCUACUAAAAAUAUAAAAAUUAGCUGGGCAUGGUGGCACACGCCUGUAAUCCAAGCUACUAGGAAGGCUGAGGCAGGAGAAUCACUUGAACCCAGGAGGUGCAGGUUGCAGUGAGCUGAGAUCGCGUCACUGCACUCCAGCCUGGGUGACAGAGCAAGAGUCCAUCUCAAAAAAAAAAAAAAAAAAAAAAGUCCUUUGUUCCAUAACCCUCAAGGAAGCCCUUGAUUGCCACCACUGCCACUGCCACCCACGACUCUCACCGAGGCAGUCCCCUGAUGUGCAGCCUGGGCUGCAAACCUGGCCACAUGGUUGAUGAUGGGUGCAAAGUUGGUAGGGCCAUAGAGGCGAACUUGGGGCAGGGCUUGGCGGUAGGCAUCCACAAUGCCCUGGAUGCCUGCAGAGGAGAGCAAGAAAUACCGUAAAAUCCUGGACCUCUCAGGACUACACCAGUCCUGAAAUCACCCCAUCCCAGCCCAGGAGAUCUCGGAACCUGGGUGCAUUUCAUUCAUUCACCCUUGUAAACCAGGGUACUUAACUGUCUCCUACACAUGAGGAAACUAAGGUUCAAAGAGAGGAGGGGACUUGCCCUAAAUCACAGCUUGAAUUAGCACCCAGAUGAGAGGGAUUCUCCUGGACAAAUCCAGGAGAGUUUGAGCAUCAGAUUAUAACCUAUUUAAUAAUGAUCCAUUUGAUACAAUAAGGAUCCGUACUAUGGAUUAAUUACUGAGGGAGAAGGGAAAGCUCCUAAUAAAUGUAAAAGGAAGAAUUACACAAUCAUUUGACAAUCACAGAAAUGACUGAUUCAGGCAAGGAUCAUCAAUGGAUGUUAAAACUAGAGAGUAUAGCCAGGCACAGUGGCAUGUGCCUGUAGUCCCAGCUACUCACGAGGCUGAGGUGGGAGGACUGCUUGAGCCCAGGGGUUCAAGGCCAGCUUAGGCAACAUAGUGAGACCCCCGUCACUUAAAAAAUAAAAAAACUAAGGCCGGGCGCAGUGGCUCAGGCCUGUAAUCCCAGCACUUUGGGAGGCUGAGGCGGGCGGAUCACAAGGUCAGGAGAUUGAGACCAUCCCAGCUAACACAGUGAAACCCCGUCUCUACUAAAAAUACAAAAAAAAAACUAGCCGGGCGUGGUGGUGGGCGCCUGUAGUCCCAGCUACUCGGGAGGCUGAGGCAGGAGAAUGGCGUGAACCCAGGAGGUGGAGCUUGCAGUGAGCCAAGAUCGCGCCACCGCAUUCCAGCCUGGGUGACAGAGCAAGACUCCAUCUCAAAAAAUAAAAAAUAAAAAAUAAAUUAAAAAAAAAAAAACUAGAGGGGAAUGUUGAUGUGUGUGUGAUGAGUAUUUGUAUAGUCUCUUCCCAGAAUAUACUUACUAAAUAGAAAGGAGAAAAUAGUACUUGUAUAGUGGAGAAACCUGGUAGAUCUUACCUUAACUAAGUGACCAAAGUCAACAUGACUGGUAAUAGGACAAAUCAACAUCAUGUUCCUCUGAAUAUGAUGCACUGAGAAUAUACAGCAUCACUUUGGUGGUAUUCCUGCCAAAAAUGUACAACCUGAAUCUAAUCCUGAGGAUUUAUCAGGUAAACCCAAACUGAGGGACAUUCUAGAAAAUAUCUGGCCUAUACUGUUUAUAUCAUGAAAUGUGAAUGUCAUGAAAGGCAAGAAGUCUUCCAUAUAAAAAGAUAUGUGCUAACUGAACGCAAUGUGUGAUCUGAGAUUUUCUUUUGCUGUAAAAGACAUUAGGACAAUUGGCAACAUCUGAAUAAAUGCUAUAGGCUGGAUAAUAGCAUAGAUGUUCAUUUCCUGAUUUUGAGGAUUGGUCUGUGAUAAUGUAAGAAAGAGUCUUUGAUUUUAGGAGAUACUGAAGUACUCAGAGGUAAAAAGCCAGGUGGAUAAUGAUGGGUACAAAGCUGGUAGGGCCAUAGAAGCAAACCUGAGGCAGGGCUAUUCACUACAGCAUUCUCCAACACACGUAUACAUGUGUGUACAUACAUAAACACAUAUUUUUAAUCUUUUUUCCCUUGAAAUGUGUGAAUGUGUGUGUAUAUGUAUACAUGUGUACACACACACACACAUAUACACACACAUACACACUGUAUACAUGUAUGAGAAAAGAGAAAACAAAUGUGGUAAAAUGUUAUGUUAGGGUAAUUGGGAUAAAGGUGAAGAGCCCCUGUGAACUCAGGCCCUGACCCCUGAGUUCCAAGGGACUGAGCUCCUAUGACUAUUCUUGCAACUUUUCUCUAAGUCUGAACUUAUGUUGAAAUACAAAAUUAAAAUUUUAAAACCCAGAUCAGAUCAGGUCAGGUCAGAUUUUCCACUUCAGCUUGUGCCCCCUUGGGGGUACUGGGGAGUCAAAAGGUUUGGCCCUAAACAAAAGGGCUUGGUGGACUCUGGCAAAAUGCACCCUGCAAGGAGGCAAACAAGGCUUCCACUGAUGCUCAAGUAAGUACCUGUUAGCUUCUAGGCAAAGAUAAUAACGAUAAUAUAACAGAUACCAUUUUUCGGAGAACACUUAGUAAGUACCAGGCUUACUGCUUUACUUGUAUCCUCUCCUUGAGUACUCAAUUUCCUAUGUUUAGUCUUAUGAAACCAAAGCACACAGAGAUUAAGCAACCUGCCCCAAGUCAUGUGGCAUCAUUUUUUUUUUUUUUUGAGAUAGGUUCUCACUCUAUCACCCAGGCUGGAGUAUAGUGGCAUGAUCAUGAUCAUGGCUCACCACAACCUCAACCUCCUGGGCUCAGGUGAUCCUCCCACCUCAGCCUCCUGAGUAGCUAGAACUACAGGCGCCUGCCAUCAUGCUCGGCUAAUUUUUGUAAUUUUAGUAGAGAUGGGGUUUUGCCAUGUUUCCCAAGCUAGUCUCAAAUUCCUGGGCUCAAGCGAUCCACCCACCUUGGCCUCGCAACUGAGUGCUAGGAUUACGGGCGUGAGCCACCACUCCUGGCCUGGCAUGACGAUUUGAUUCCAGAGGCCUAGCUCUAAAAUCCACCCUCUGGGUCAGGCGCUGUGGCUCAAUACCUGUAAUCCCAGCACUUUGGGAGGCCAAGGCAGGUCAAUCACCUGAGGUCAGGAAUUCGAGACCACCCUGGCCAACAUGGCAAAACCCCGUCUCUACUAAACAUACAAAAAUUAGCCAGGCACGGUGGCAAGCGACUGUAGUCCCAGCUACUUGGGAGGCUGAGGCAGAAGAAUUGCUCGAACCCAGUAGGCAGAGGUUGCAAGUGAGCUAAGAUUGCGCCACCGCACUCCAGCCUGGGUGACAGAGCAAGACUCUUUCUCAAAAAAUAAAUUAAACUAAAAUUAAAUAAAAUCCACCCUCUGGACAAUGAAGGCAGGUAUCUGCCCCCACUCUCCCUUUUACUCAUGCAGGCUUGCCCCUCUUUGUGUGGACAGACCUGCCUCAGGGUGGAUGGGGAAACUUACCUGCACAGUAGGGGUUACUGGGGUUGAAAUUCAAGGCAAAUUCAUGCGAGACCUGGAGACAAGAAUGAAAAUGAGGUUCUUUCCCCAUGACCUCUGC
rnacentral:lncRNA from 1 species